rnacentral:ncRNA from 1 species
AGGACGUGAUAAGCUGCGAUAAGCCGGGAGGAGAUGCACAUAAUCGUUAAUCCCCGGAUUUCCGAAUGGGAAAACCUGCAUGCCUGGAGGGCAUGCGUGAAAACGGUAAGCCCGCGAACUGAAACAUCUAAGUAGCGGGAGGAAAGGAAAGUAAAAACGAUUCCCUGAGUAGCGGCGAGCGAACGGGGA